GAUGAACGCUAGCGGCAGGCCUAACACAUGCAAGUCGAGGGGUAGUUACUUUCGGGUAAUGAGGACCGGCGCACGGGUGCGUAACGCGUAUGCAAUCUACCUUUUUACAGGGGAAUAGCCCAGAGAAAUUUGGAUUAAUGCCCCAUAGUAUGUAUGAAUCGCAUGGUUUAUACAUUAAAAGUUCCAACGGUAAAAGAUGAGCAUGCGUCCCAUUAGUUAGUUGGUAAGGUAACGGCUUACCAAGACGAUGAUGGUAGGGGUCCUGAGAGGGAGAUCCCCCACACUGGUACUGAGACACGGACCAGACUCCUACGGGAGGCAGCAGUGAGGAAUAUUGGACAAUGGGCGCAAGCCUGAUCCAGCCAUGCCGCG
rnacentral:rRNA from 1 species